CGGGGCUUGGAAUCAAGAUGCUGUGGGCCCCGCCAGCGUCAAGCGGGCGAUCACGGGGAUCUCCACACGCCCGCCGGUACAGCCGCUGACUGCUUAAAGUAGGCCGUUGAGGGAAGCUCGCAUUGCUCUCAUCGCUCCGAAUUUCAUGUAGCAGUCGCGCCGCAUGCCGUGGAGGGGUGAGCUGUGUUGGCAGCUCAGAAGAUGCGGGACGCCG
rnacentral:ncRNA from 1 species